GGGACUGAGACACGGCCCGAACUCCUACGGGAGGCAGCAGUGGGGAAUAUUGGACAAUGGGCGCAAGCCUGAUCCAGCCAUGCCGCGUGUGUGAAGAAGGCCUUCGGGUUGUAAAGCACUUUCAGCGAGGAAGAACGCCUAGCGGUUAAUACCCGCUAGGAAAGACAUCAMUCGCAGAAGAAGCACCGGCUAACUCCGUGCCAGCAGCCGCGGUAAUACGGAGGGUGCAAGCGUUAAUCGGAAUUACUGGGCGUAAAGCGCGCGUAGGUGGCUUGAUAAGCCGGUUGUGAAAGCCCCGGGCUCAACCUGGGAACGGCAUCCGGAACUGUCAAGCUAGAGUGCAGGAGAGGAAGGUAGAAUUCCCGGUGUAGCGGUGAAAUGCGUAGAGAUCGGGAGGAAUACCAGUGGCGAAGGCGGCCUUCUGGACUGACACUGACACUGAGGUGCGAAAGCGUGGGUAGCAAACAGGAUUAGAUACCCUGGUAGUCCACGCCGUAAACGAUGUCGACCAGCCGUUGGGUGCCUAGCGCACUUUGUGGCGAAGUUAACGCGAUAAGUCGACCGCCUGGGGAGUACGGCCGCAAGGUUAAAACUCAAAUGAAUUGACGGGGGCCCGCACAAGCGGUGGAGCAUGUGGUUUAAUUCGAUGCAACGCGAAGAACCUUACCUACUCUUGACAUCCUGCGAACUUGUGAGAGAUCACUUGGUGCCUUCGGGAACGCAGAGACAGGUGCUGCAUGGCUGUCGUCAGCUCGUGUUGUGAAAUGUUGGGUUAAGUCCCGUAACGAGCGCAACCCUUGUCCUUAUUUGCCAGCACGUAAUGGUGGGAACUCUAAGGAGACUGCCGGUGACAAACCGGAGGAAGGUGGGGACGACGUCAAGUCAUCAUGGCCCUUACGAGUAGGGCUACACACGUGCUACAAUGGCCGGUACAAAGGGUUGCCAACUCGCGAGAGUGAGCUAAUCCCGAAAAGCCGGUCUCAGUCCGGAUCGGAGUCUGCAACUCGACUCCGUGAAGUCGGAAUCGCUAGUAAUCGUGAAUCAGAAUGUCACGGUGAAUACGUUCCCGGGCCUUGUACA
rnacentral:rRNA from 1 species